rnacentral:rRNA from 1 species
CGCGUAGGCGGCCAUCUUUGUCAGGCGUGAAAGCCCCGGGCUCAACCUGGGAAUUGCGCUUGGGACGGGGUGGCUUGAGUUCGGGAGAGGAGAGUGGAAUUCCCAGUGUAGAGGUGAAAUUCGUAGAUAUUGGGAAGAACACCGGUGGCGAAGGCGGCUCUCUGGACCGAUACUGACGCUGAGGCGCGAAAGCGUGGGGAGCAAACAGGAUUAGAUACCCUGGUAGUCCACGCUGUAAACGAUGUGUGCUAGACGUUGGGAAGCCUAGCUUCUCGGUGUCGCAGCUAACGCGGUAAGCACACCGCCUGGGGAGUACGGCCGCAAGGUUAAA